GGGGAGGCAACAGGCUUACUUGUUCUCUGUUCUCUCCUUUUGUUGUCUCCAAGGUGACAGAGGAAAAGAAACCAUGACUCAACGCCACCGAUGACGCGCGAGGUUUGAAAACUAAAACAAAUGCCAAAAACCAUCAGUGCAAGAGUGCAAUACACCGUUUAACUUGUUAGCAGCCUCAAUGUUGCCACUUUCUUCUUCGGCAUCAGGGGACUGUGCGCAAGGAAACUGGGAAUUGACAUUUUAAAAUUUGAACGAUUCCGGGAGAACCAGAACGUUAGUCCCGGUUCCAACCGGUCCUCGAUUCUUGAUGCCCAACCCUAGCACACGCACACUUGCACAGACCUGGGUAGUUGUUGAUGAAGCCUUGGUAGAUGCCGGCCAGCUCCUCGCCGCUGAUGUUGCGUGCCGCGUUCGGCGGGGACUUGAAGUCCAGGUCGUACUUGCCCUCGAUGAAGAACUCGGAGGCGGCCACAUCCAUCCCGAUCACUACUUUGUCUGUGAAGCCCGCCUUCUCGAUGGCCGUCUUGAUCAGCUCCAGAGCUGCAGGGAAGUCAGAUCACGCUGCAUGUUAUUAUCAAUAGGUUUAUAGUGGAACCUCCAAAAGUGUGUUCUGGCAAAUCUUUUUUCUGACAGAAUAAGUCCUUCCUUACUUAUGGGUUUUGAUUAAAAGAAAGAAAGAAAUCUUUGCAAAGAGAGGAAAAGGUACAAGUCGUCACGAGUUGUUUCCCCUUACUGAAGCGCAAGCAAAGAAUCACCUUCGUUAUACAGAGGUGAGAGACAGAGAAGAGAAGAAAAGAAAAAAAAGAAAUACAGCCCUCUCAUUUCCACAACAUUGUCACACAGUUAGCUUAUCUUUAUGGGAAUGGGUGCGUGCAGAAGGUGAGAAAGGAAGAGAAAAAUAGGGAGUAGUCAAAACAGUCCUGAGCAAAUUUGCAAGGACACACAGUAGUACUGUGCUUAGAGCUACGGAACAAUAAAACAUGCAAAAGUCAUAUAAUACUGAUACGUGAUAUAUAUGAAACAUACAUUUUACAAAUCAAGAUCCCCCUUUCCAUAAUAUAACAUGGCAUAUUAAUCACAUAAGAAAGGAAACUAAUUUUACUAAACACACUAAGUAACCAAAAACAUUAAGCUAGCACGGAGUAAUCAAAGCGAUAUAACAGUAUAACAUGAAUUUACCACACAACCUCACAAUCAUCCAGAAAUUCACACCUUAGGUUGAAGAAAAUCCUUCAUAAGUGGGUUAUAAGCCAGUUAUGCAAUAAAGUCUGAUAAAUAACAAAUAAAUGAUAAUAAAAACUGAGGAACAGUUCAUGGUUUGAAGGAAGCAGGGACAGGCAACAAAUGCUAUUUUUCCAGUGUUCAAUGUAGUUUCAUAUGAUUGCAAUUAAUAUUAAAAAUGUUAUUUAUUAAAUAUGUGAUAGGAUCAAUGUGCAGGACACUUUGCUGGGUAAGAAAUGUAUUUUACAGUUAAUUUGAUCGUGCAUUGUAGCAUUUUAUUUCCUGGGGAUGCAAAUGGCACCAAUUUAGUGAAUUUGUCCCUUUACAGUGGCGGCGUCACAUGUACAGUGUGUCACUGUUCACAUUCUUACCUUCACUGUUCUCCUGAAUGUUGGGUGCGAACCCCCCCUCGUCGCCCACGUUGGUAGCAUCUUGACCGUACUUCUCCUUGAUCACGCCCCUCAAGGUCUGGUAGAGCUCCGCCCCGACACGCAGGGCCUCCCGGAAUGACUCCGCCCCAACAGGGAGUACCAUGAACUCCUGCAUAGCCAGCCUAUUCCCGGCAUGGGAGCCCCCGUUGAUCACAUUAAAAGCCUUAAAGUGACGAACACAGAAGUUAUUUCAACUUUAGGUCAACCAUCCAAUCAUUUUCGAGAGUAAUCAUUUUCAUUAGGGUCAUGGAGGAGUUGGUGCCUAUCCCAGCUGACUUUGGGCAAGAAGUGGGGUACCCCCGGGAUUGGUCACCAGCCAAUGCAUACAAACAGCCAUUCACACUCACAUGCAAUUUCAACAUGGGAAUUCAACACAGAAAUCCUCAAGUUAAGAUACAAACCCAGAUCCUUUUGACUGUGAGGGAAAUGCCUUAACAUAUAUCAUAUGUACAUGUUUUUUGGGGGGAAUAAUUAAAUAUAUAUUAUAAACUAUAUAUUUUUUCAAUUAUAUUAAAAAUAAAUUGAUAGAAAUUUAAUGUUAUUAAUAUGGCACCAACUGACAGCAAAAGCUGUAUCAAAGCAAAUUUAGUACAGAAAAUAUUUCAGACCGUAGUCAUAAUAUUCUCGUAUGCAGUAAUAAUAGUGAUGUACAAUAAAAUAAUACAGUACAUUACAUACUUGGAUUUAGAUUAGGAUUGGAAGACAUUAUAAUAAAAAAAUUGAAAACACUUUUUUCACUGUAUGUCAUUAUAUUACAACAUGUUACCACAAAUUUCAUUGCCAUCAAACAUUUUGCUAUUAUUUUACUUCACAUUACCUGGGACAAAAAAAAAUAUCAAUAAAUUAAGAAAAUUAAAUAUUAAUAUUAUUAUUAAUUAUACUAAUUAUUUGAUAUUAAUAAAUGAAGUACCGGUAAUGUUGUUGGCAGCCAUCACAGUAAUUUAGUGGGUAGCACGUCUGCUUCAUAGUUAAGAGGUUCUGGGUUUUAAUGAAGAUGAGCACUCUUGAAAAUAGAUGGAGUGAUGUUUUUGACUGCAGUUAUGAAGGCAGGAGCACCAAUAAGUUCGACUCACAGGAACUGGGAGAACCAGGUCUCGGUUCCCCGCCAGAUCGGCAAUGUGACGGUACAGGGGCACGUCCUUCUCCGCUGCUCCCGCUUUGCAUACGGCCAGUGACACUCCGAGGAUGGCGUUGGCCCCAAACUUAGCUGCACGGAAGCAACAGAUGCAUUGGGUGUUGAAUCAAAGUGUGGACUACUGAGAAUCAAAAGCCUACAUUUGUUUUCAGUGCCGUCCAUUUCAAUCAUCAGGUUGUCCAGUUUCUCCUGCUCCAGCACACUGGUCCCCUGAAACACACAAAGGAGAGACAUUGUGCCACCAUCUAUGUGCAGUUAAACAUAGAGUCAACUACACUAUAUCCUACUGCUACACUGGUACUCACUGACUGGAUAAGGGCCGGUCCAAGGGUGUCAUUAAUGUGACCGACUGCCUUGGUUACACCUAAUACACAAGCACAGAAAACAUAUUAAACAUAUUGUAAGGGUAUGGGUCAUUUUCAUAUAAUUGGAUCAAUAACGGCAGCACGGUGAACAACUGGUUAGCGCGUCUGCCUCACAGUUGUGAGGACCGGGGUUCAAUCCCCGGCCCUGCCUGUGUGGAGUUUGCAUGUUCUCCCCGUGCCUGCGUGGGUUGUCUCCGGGCACUCCGGUUUCCUCCCACAUCCCAAAAACAUGCAUGGUAGGUUAAUUGACAACUCUAAAUUGCCCAUAGGUGUGAAUGUGAGUACAAAUGGUUGUUUGUUUAUGUGUGCCCUGCGAUUGGCUGGCAACCAGUUCAGGGUAUACCCCGCCUCCUGCCCGAUGAUAGCUGGGAUAGGCUCCAGCACGCCCGUGACCCUAGUGAGGAGAAGCGGCUCAGAAA